UUUCGCAAUGCCCGAAAGGGUGACGAAGCGACGCCGCGUGUGGGAAGAAGGCUCUAGGGUUGUAAACCACUGUCAGGAGUUAAGAAAUGUAGAGGUGUUAAUAGCGCCUCUACUUGACGAAGGCUCCAGAGGAAGCCACGGCUAACUCUGUGCCAGCAGCCGCGGUAAUACAGAGGUGGCAAGCGUUGUUCGGAAUUAUUGGGCGUAAAGAGCACGUAGGCGGCCCUGCAAGUCAGUUGUGAAAUCCUUCCGCUUAACGGGAGAACGGCAGCUGAUACUACAGGGCUAGAGUACGGGAGGGGAGAGUGGAACUUCUGGUGGAGCGGUGAAAUGCGUAGAUAUCAGAAGGAACGCCGGCGGCGAAAGCGACUCUCUGGCCCGAAACUGACGCUGAGUGUGCGAAAGCUAGGGGAGCAAACGGGAUUAGAUACCCCGGUAGUCCUAACCGUAAACGAUGGGCACUAAGUAGAGGGGUUUUA
rnacentral:rRNA from 1 species